AACGAACGCUGGCGGCAGGCUUAACACAUGCAAGUCGAACGCCCCGCAAGGGGAGUGGCAGACGGGUGAGUAACGCGUGGGAACAUACCCUUUUCUACGGAAUAGCUCUGGGAAACUGGAAUUAAUACCGUAUACGCCCUACGGGGGAAAGAUUUAUCGGGGAAGGAUUGGCCCGCGUUGGAUUAGCUAGUUGGUGGGGUAAAGGCCUACCAAGGCGACGAUCCAUAGCUGGUCUGAGAGGAUGAUCAGCCACAUUGGGACUGAGACACGGCCCAAACUCCUACGGGAGGCAGCAGUGGGGAAUAUUGGACAAGGGGCGCAAGCCUGAUCCAGCCAGGCCGCGUGAGUGAUGAAGGCCUUAGGGUUGUAAAGCUCUUUCAACGAUGAAGAUAAUGACGGUAGUCGGAGAAGAAGCCCCGGCUAACUUCGUG
rnacentral:rRNA from 1 species